rnacentral:rRNA from 1 species
UACAGAGGUCCCAAGCGUUGUUCGGAUUCACUGGGCGUAAAGGGUGCGUAGGUGGCCGGGUAAGUCUGACGUGAAAUCUCCAAGCUCAACUUGGAAACUGCAUCGGAUACUAUCCGGCUCGAGGAUCGGAGGGGAGACUGGAAUACUUGGUGUAGCAGUGAAAUGCGUAGAUAUCAAGUGGAACACCAGUGGCGAAGGCGAGUCUCUGGACGAUUCCUGACGCUGAGGCACGAAAGCCAGGGGAGCAAACGGG